rnacentral:rRNA from 1 species
CUACGGGUGGCAGCAGUGAGGAAUUUUGCGCAAUGGGGGAAACCCUGACGCAGCAACGCCGCGUGAGUGAUGAAGGCCUUCGGGUCGUAAAGCUCUGUCAAGUGGGAAGAACCUAUAGGAUGUUAAUAUCAUUUUAUACUGACGGUACCACUGAAGGAAGCACCGGCUAACUCCGUGCCAGCAGCCGCGGUAAUACGGGGGGUGCAAGCGUUAUUCGGAAUUAUUGGGCGUAAAGAGCGCGUGGGCGGCCAGUUAAGUCAGAUGUGAAAUCCCGGGGCUCAACCCCGGAAGUGCAUUUGAAACUAAUUGGCUUGAGUAUGGGAGAGGGAAGUGGAAUUCCUGGUGUAGAGGUGAAAUUCGUAGAUAUCAGGAGGAACACCGGUGGCGAAGGCGACUUCCUGGACCAAUACUGACGCUGAGGCGCGAAGGCGUGGGGAGCAAACAGGAUUAGAUACCCCCGUAGUC